CCGCCGCGGAGCGCGUCUGGCAUCCGGAGUCUCCCGGGAUCGAAAAUAAUUUGGGCAAAGCGGUGGGAGUACUUAUUGAGCACCUGCUGUGUGCCAGGCACUGUUCUGUGGUGGGGACACAGUGAUGCACAAGACAAAGUCCUGCUUUUUUGGAGCGUACAUUCUGAUUGGAAAAAGAAAAUACCAGACAGGGAAGAGUGCCAGGUGAGAAUUAAGAUGGGGUCACGUGGUCAGGGAAGACCUCUGUGAAGAAGAGACAGAUGAGGAAACUGAAGCUUCGAGAAGCGAAGAGAAUUUUCCAAGAUCUUACAGCCAGUCAGUGGCAAAACAAGGAUUCAACUCACAGCCUGAGCUCGUCAUCACUGCUGCCUCUCCUGUAGCCGCAUCCUCACUCUUGCCCGCUUUCGACCCACUUUCCCGUUACCCUGUGCUCCACAGACCAAGCCAGCUGCCCCUUUGCUGCUGCCCAGACCUGUUACACAGGUUCCCACCUCAGACCCUUUUCCGAUGCUGUUCCCUCCACCUGGAGCCCCCUGCCUCCCCGUCUCUGUUUGCUGAAACCCGGACCCUUCUUCAUGGUUUUGUUUAGUUUCUUCCUCUUCCAUGAAGUCUUGUGCUUAAUCCCACAAACAAAGGGCUGCCUGUUAUCUCUGAAGUCCCACAGUUCUAUUCGGGCUGCUGUCUGGGCCCUCAUCACACUUAUUUUGUGUGCGCAGAGUUUGGACUGUGACCGACUGGGAUUUAGGUUCAAGUCUCGUUUCUGUCACUUACUGUGUCUGUGAUCUUGGGAGGGCAACGACCUUUGUACCACUGUUUUCAUUAGUAAAAUGUGCUGAUAAUGGGGAGCAGGUAGGCAUUGAAUUAGGAACACUCAGCACAGGGUCUAGUUAGCAUUGAAUAAAUGGCAACUGUUGUUACAUAGCUUCUCCCAGCCUCAGUUUCUUCAUCUAUAAAAUGUGUGCGCAUAAAAAGUGGCAAAGGGCAUCUAAAGUGCCUGGCACACAGGGCCCGACCAGAGAGGGCAGAUUUAGGGGUUUAUCACACACAUCUUCCCUCGGAGGCCCAGGCCAGGGCUUCGUGGUCUGGCGCGUAUUUUUUCCAUCGAAGUUGCCGUAGAUUUACAUUUCCAUGGGGUAUGGACUCCAGACAG